rnacentral:rRNA from 1 species
UGGGGAAUAUUGCACAAUGGACGGAAGUUUGAUGCAGCGACGCCGCGUGGAGAGUGUAGGCCUUCGGGUUGUGAACUCCUUUUUCUCGCGAAAAAGGCACAGUUUUGGCUGUGUUGAUGGUAGUGGGGGAAGAAGCGCCGGCUAACUACGUGCCAGCAGCCGCGGUAAUACGUAGGGCGCGAGCGUUGUCCGGAUUUAUUGGGCGUAAAGAGCUCGUAGGUGGUUCGUCGCGUCUGUCGUGAAAGCCAGCAGCUUAACUGUUGGUCUGCGGUGGGUACGGGCGGGCUUGAGUGCGGUAGGGGUGACUGGAAUUCCUGGUGUAGCGGUGGAAUGCGCAGAUAUCAGGAGGAACACCGAUGGCGAAGGCAGGUCACUGGGCCGUUACUGACACUGAGGAGCGAAAGCGUGGGGAGCGAACAGG